rfam:Oryza glumipatula chromosome 7, whole genome shotgun sequence.
AAUAAGCGCAGCCAUAAGUUUCUGUGUCCAACUUCGACCGUUCGUCUUAUUUGAAAUUUUUUAUGAUUAGUAUUUUUAUGUUUAUAAGAUUAUAAACAUGAAUAAUACUUUAUGCGAGACUUAAGUUUUUUCAAAGAAAAUUCGAAUAAGACGGACGAUUAAAGUUGGAUAAACUCAUGGCUGCGCUUAUU